rnacentral:lncRNA from 1 species
AACUUGAUAACGACUUUAGUCUAUUAAAUUUAAAAUAAAAUAAAAACUGCUAAGAUAGGGAGUGUUAUUGAUUUUUUAGGAGUCCAUAACAUUGAUGCCCUGCUCUAUAAGUACUUUGCUAACCAUUACAGUAAAAAAAAAUUGAAUGUCAAAUAAUACCCUUUUUAGUCUCAGAUAUGGGUUUGAUUAUACAGUCCCCAAACUGAGACAAAUAAACAAAUGACACAAAAUAAUCAUGAAUGACAGAAAGAAAAGAAGAGUAAAGACGUCAUAGGCGUCCCAAGCGUUCCGCUUGUUUUUCUUGCUAUCUGGUGACUUUAGAAGUUGAGACGUGAUGACUCCAUGCUCGGGAAUGGAGAGUCUUGCAUUAAGACUCCAUAUUUUGCUCCAAGUACAUAUGCGCAAAAAAAAAAGAGAAACAAAACAAGAAUUAGAAGUGGAAUUUGAUUCUUAAGCCUGCAUAAAAAAAACAAAGACAAACGAAAACCAAAACAAACGAAGUUCAAACGGAUUCUUAAGUUAAGAACUAUUUCUUUAUUUAAGGUUUCAACAAUUAGUGGCAACAAAAUUUACUACAUAAACUGAAAUGCAUAUUUUAGUCUAAUGAUAGUAAGAAAAGAUACAAGUAUGCCUUCUGAUAUAAAACCACAUUCAAAUAUUAUAUGACAUUUAGACAGAACUUGAAGCCUCUUAGAAUUAGUGCUUUUUAUAUAAAGAAAUCCUAAGUUUAUGCCAUAAGCAACAUAAACUUAUACUCAACUUUGAUUUUAAUUGUUGGUUUUCAAAAAAACAGAAUGUUCUAACUUUAUCAGGCAGGAACUUUGUUGCAAACGAAUUCAACAAGUCUCUCCUUUAGCAAGUCUCUCCCUUCACACAUCAUGCUACCCAUGAAUAUAAAAUGCCUAGUCUUUGCUAGCAGAAACUAGUUACUGCAGUGCUCUAAAUUAAACGAAUUUCGCUCUUUGGGUAAAUAAUAUUCUAAAGUGUUGACGGUUAUUCAAUAGGGCUCAGAUGAAUGGUCAGAGAUAUGCUUUCCAGAUCAUUUAGAAUGAAUAGAAUAUCCAAACCUAUUAACAGGAUCUAUAGAAUAAACUUAAUACAUGUAUAUCAACAUUUCAAUAGAGUAAACUUCUUUUAUACACCGUUCAAGAAAGAAAACAAUGAUUAAUCUUAAAAUGUUCAAGAGCUAUAGACUGUGGAAUAUCUUAUGAACAUGAUUCUAAGCAGUCAAGAACUGACUUAAUACAUGUACAUCUGACUUAUAACUUCAAACCUCUCAUUCUAACUUAACCGUCCUUCCAAUUUUUUAGAAGCCUGAAACAUGAUUUCUAAGGCGUGAUUUCAAAAAUAAAAUUAAAAAAAAAAAGAUCUUUUCCCCUUAAUAUAUCCAGAACAUAACAUACUGGACAAAAUUCAAAUAUGUGACUUAAGUCAAAGGGAGUAUUCAAUCCUAGGAGCAUGACAUCUAUUCUUGUUAUGUUUCUAAUGAAACUUUCACACAUGGAAAUAUUUAUUCAAUAACCAAACAAAACAUAAUAAGCCAAAUACCUUACUAUACUGUCUCACCAUCGUAAGAAAUAAAAUAUAGCCUACCAGUUAGUCACAUUUUAUCAUCUAGAAUAGAGAAAAGGAGAAAGUACUGACCUGCUUUAGAGCAGUGAACUGAGGGCGAGGAUCUUGGGUCCGCCACGCGACCUUAAGUUCUACUAGCAAGCAACGAAAGAAUUUAUCUACUAUUGUCGAAGCCAUACAGAGACAAAGAAAGAACUCGAAGAAGAUCAGUUUUUGGGAAAGAGAAAAAACAAUAGGGCAUAAGUGCUUUAGGGAGGAGAGGCAGCCAAAAAAAACCUCUCAAAUGUGGGGUGAAAGUAGGCGGCUCUAGCUUCUGGUUUUUUGAGUGAAAUGGUGGAUAACAACCAUCAGUUUUUUAGGGUAAAGGGGGCGACUCCAAAAACAUCUCCAGAUGGACUCCAAGUGCUGGUUUUUAUAGGUGAAAAUCUAGGGUUCUUGAUUUGGGCGGGAUUUUGAAAUUGAGUCAAGGAUACUAAACCAUUUGAAAAUUGAACGUUGGUACUGCAGAGAAAUUAAAUGGAGGGCAUGGCUUCUUGCUUCAAAAUAGUAAUGGCAAGUCUGCCAUGGCUGAGCAACACUGAAGUUUUGUGAAGAAAAGGAAAGGGAGAAAAUAAGCGGUUGUUUGGUAGAGAGAAG